rnacentral:lncRNA from 1 species
CUGCAUUGCCACUAUAUGCUACUAGACAUCACUGAUGGAUUGUGAGAAUCAUGAGAAUUAAUUGAUAGUCAAUAAUUCUCAAUGGGUGAGUUGAAAUUGUUCCAAUCCUUGAAAGAGGUUUCAAUAAUAUUUAUGAUGGAGAUCGUAAUAUGUCUCACUACUAGAUACAAUAGAACCUACGGAAUUGCAUACAAAAAAGAUUUUGACUUGAUCAAAUAAUUGAAUUAUGAAUUUGAUUCACGGAUGAAUCUAAUUAUCAAUUUAAUUGA